AAGGCUUUACUUUAAUCUGUACCUAUAAUCUGGUAGCUUUACACUAAGUUUAAUUAGUUAAUGCUGCUUUUUGUGAAGCCUAUUAAGUUCUCCCUCGCUAUCCAAGGCUGCUUUUAUGUUGCAUUGGACGUUGGGAAACUAUAUCU